UUAACACAUGCAAGUCGAGCGGAAAGGCCCUUCGGGGUACUCGAGCGGCGAACGGGUGAGUAACACGUGAGUAAUCUGCCCCAUGCUUCGGGAUAGCCAGCCGAAAGGCUGAUUAAUACCGGAUAUGACGCUCUCCGGCAUCGGGGGGUGUGGAAAGUUUUUUCGGCGUGGGAUGUGCUCGCGGCCUAUCAGCUUGUUGGUGGGGUAAUGGCCUACCAAGGCUUCGACGGGUAGCCGGCCUGAGAGGGUGACCGGCCACACUGGGACUGAGACACGGCCCAGACUCCUACGGGAGGCAGCAGUGGGGAAUAUUGGACAAUGGGCGGAAGCCUGAUCCAGCAACGCCGCGUGAGGGAUGACGGCCUUCGGGUUGUAAACCU
rnacentral:rRNA from 1 species